CUCUAGACCAGGUCACCAUGGCGACAAAGAAUUUUGCCCAGGUGCCUGGGAUUGGUCAGCCCAUUCACUCCUCCAACUCCUAUUUCAGUCCCCGUGUAGGUGUACUGGGAGGAAGUGAUCUGUAAUUACUUUCUCCCGGCGCUGCGGUCGCACAGAGAACUAGCAAGCUAGCAGGACACUUUGUAAAAUUGUCUGUGUUCACUGCCAG